rnacentral:rRNA from 1 species
AGACUGUCUGCUUCCAAUUGUCUGCCUAUGUGUUGGACAGGUACUCUGUUACCUUAAAUCAUUUGACCCCUUUGACCUCAAAUCAGGUAGGACUACCCGCUG